UACGGAGGGUGCAAGCAUUGAUCGGAAUUACUGGGCGUAAAGGGCGCGUAGGCGGUCUGAUAAGUUAGAUGUGAAAUUCCGGGGCUCAACCCCGGAGCUGCAUUUAAAACUAUCGAACUAGAGGUUGGUAAGGGAAAACAGAAUUCCACGUGUAGCGGUGAAAUGCGUAGAUAUGUGGAAGAAUACCGGUGGUGAAGACGGUUUUCUGUGCCAAACCUGACGCUGAGGCGCGAAAGCUAGGGGAGCAAACAGG
rnacentral:rRNA from 1 species